rnacentral:rRNA from 1 species
UACGUAGGGACCGAGCGUUAUCCGGAUUCAUUGGGCGUAAAGAGCUCGUAGGCGGCUUGUCGCGUCGUCCGUGAAAACCUGCGGCUCAACUGCAGGCUGGCGGUCGAUACGGGCAGGCUGGAGUUCGGUAGGGGAGACUGGAAUUCCUGGUGUAGCGGUGAAAUGCGCAGAUAUCAGGAGGAACACCGGUGGCGAAGGCGGGUCUCUGGGCCGAUACUGACGCUGAGGAGCGAAAGCGUGGGGAGCGAACAGG